rnacentral:rRNA from 1 species
GACAGAGGGGGCAAGCGUUGCUCGGAAUCACUGGGCGUAAAGGGCGCGUAGGCGGGAUGGCAAGUCGGUCGUGAAAUCCUUCGGCUCAACCGAAGAACGUCGGCCGAUACUGCCGUUCUUGAGGGAUGCAGAGGAGAUUGGAAUUCCCGGUGUAGCGGUGAAAUGCGUAGAUAUCUGGAGGAACACCGGUGGCGAAGGCGGCGUUCUGGACUGUAACUGACACUGAUGAACGAAAGCCAGGGGAGCAAACGGG